GAUGAACGCUGGCGGCGUGCUUUAACACAUGCAAGUCGAGCGAAGCGCUCUGUCCGGAUUCUUUCGGGAUGACGGACUUAGUGACUGAGCGGCGGACGGGUGAGUAACGCGUGGGUAACCUGCCUUUCAGAGGGGACAACAGUUGGAAACGACUGCUAAUACCGCAUGACACAUAGAGAUCGCAUGGUUUUUUAUGUCAAAGAUUUAUCGCUGAAAGAUGGCCUCGCGUCUGAUUAGCUGGUUGGUGAGGUAACGGCCCACCAAGGCGACGAUCAGUAGCCGGACUGAGAGGUUGACCGGCCACAUUGGGACUGAGAUACGGCCCAGACUCCUACGGGAGGCAGCAGUGGGAAUAUUGGGCAAUGGCGCAAGCCUGACCCAGCAACGCCGCGUGAAGGAAGAAGGCUUC
rnacentral:rRNA from 1 species